GGACAAACUUCCAGUCUACUUCUUGAAUGCUGAAUGCCUGCUGGCAGAAUGCGAGCUGCACUUCGCCAUGAGUUUUACAAGCAUGAAAGGCGUGUGCACCAGCAUACUGGAGGGCUUCGGCAAGGAUCACGGGAUACGCCAAGCAACACUGAUGGACGUUCAAGCCUUUCUGCGGUCAAGAUCAUCCCGCGAUGAUGCUUUGAGCACGGAAGACGUUCCGACAGUUGAGGGAGGAUGCCCAGGACCGAAAGCCUUUCUGGGGUCCAAAACAAAGGGUAUUCUCUGUCCCGGAAGCAGUCCUCAGGUGGUCAACUUACCAAGC